UGGGGAAUAUUGCACAAUGGGCGAAAGCCUGAUGCAGCGACGCCGCGUGAGGGAUGACGGCCUUCGGGUUGUAAAACCUCUUUCAGCAGGGAAGAAGCGAAAGUGACGGUACCUGCAGAAGAAGCGCCGGCUAACUACGUGCCAGCAGCCGCGGUAAUACGUAGGGCGCAAGCGUUGUCCGGAAUUAUUGGGCGUAAAGAGCUCGUAGGCGGUUAGUCGCGUCUGCUGUGAAAAUCUCGAGGCUCAACCUCGGGCUUGCAGUGGGUACGGGCUGACUAGAGUGCGGUAGGGGUGACUGGAAUUCCUGGUGUAGCGGUGGAAUGCGCAGAUAUCAGGAGGAACACCGAUGGCGAAGGCAGGUCACUGGGCCGCAACUGACGCUGAGGAGCGAAAGCAUGGGGAGCGAACAGGAUUAGAUACCCUGGUAGUCCAUGCCGUAAACGUUGGGCACUAGGUGU
rnacentral:rRNA from 1 species